AGAGUUUGAUCCUGGCUCAGGACGAACGCUGGCGGCGUGCCUAACACAUGCAAGUCGAACGAAGCGGCGGGGAAUGAGACUUCGGUCAAAGGAACCGUUGACUUAGUGGCGAACGGGUGAGUAAUGCGUGAGCAACCUGCCCCGGAGAGGGGGACAACAGUUGGAAACGACUGCUAAUACCGCAUGAUGUGCGGAGGAGGCAUCUCCUUUGCAUCAAAGAUUUAUCGCUCCGGGAUGGGCUCGCGUCUGAUUAGCUGGUUGGUGAGGUAACGGCUCACCAAGGCGACGAUCAGUAGCCGGACUGAGAGGUUGAACGGCCACAUUGGGACUGAGAUACGGCCCAGACUCCUACGGGAGGCAGCAGUGGGGAAUAUUGGGCAAUGGGCGCAAGCCUGACCCAGCAACGCCGCGUGGAGGAAGAAGGCUUUCGGGUUGUAAACUCCUUUUAACAGGGACGAAGGACGUGACGGUACCUGUUGAAUAAGCCCCGGCUAACUACGUGCCAGCAGCCGCGGUAAUACGUAGGGGGCGAGCGUUGUCCGGAUUUACUGGGUGUAAAGGGCGCGUAGGCGGGAUAGCAAGUCAGAUGUGAAAUCUCAGGGCUCAACCCUGAAACUGCAUUUGAAACUGUUAUUCUUGAGUGUCGGAGAGGUUGACGGAAUUCCUAGUGUAGCGGUGAGAUGCGUAGAUAUUAGGAGGAACACCAGUGGCGAAGGCGGUCAACUGGACGAUAACUGACGCUGAGGCGCGAAAGCGUGGGGAGCAAACAGGAUUAGAUACCCUGGUAGUCCACGCCGUAA
rnacentral:rRNA from 1 species